rnacentral:rRNA from 1 species
AGUAUUGGAUAUCCGCGUCCAAGCAGUUAGGCUGGGAAAUAGGCAAAUCCGUUUCCCAUAAGGCUGAGCUGUGAUGGCGAGCGAAUAUAGUAGCGAAGUUCCUGAUUCCACACUGCCAAGAAAAGCCUCUAGCGAGGCGAGAGGUGCCCGUACCGCAAACCGACACAGGUAGGCGAGGAGAGAAUCCUAAGGUGAUCGAGAGAACUCUCGUUAAGGAACUCGGCAAAAUGACCCCGUAACUUCGGGAGAAGGGGUGCUCUGUUAGGGUGCAAGCCCGAGAGAGCCGCAGUGAAUAGGCCCAGGCGACUGUUUAGCAAAAACACAGGUCUCUGCGAAGCCGUAAGGCGAAGUAUAGGGGCUGACGCCUGCCCGGUGCUGGAAGGUUAAGAGGAGCGCUUAGCGUAAGCGAAGGUGCGAAUUGAAGCCCCAGUAAACGGCGGCCGUAACAAUAACGGUCCUAAGGUAGCGAAAUUCCUUGUCGGGUAAGUUCCGACCCGCACGAAAGGCGCAACGAUCUGGGCACUGUCUCAACGAGAGACUCGGUGAAAUUAUAGUACCUGUGAAGAUGCAGGUUACCCACGACAGGACGGAAAGACCCCGUGGAGCUUUACUGCAGCCUGAUAUUGAAUGUUGGUACAGCUUGUACAGGAUAGGUAGGAGCCUUGGAAACCGGAGCGCCAGCUUCGGUGGAGGCAUCGGUGGGAUACUACCCUGGCUGUAUUGACCUUCUAACCCGCCGCCCUUAUCGGGCGGGGAGACAGUGUCAGGUGGGCAGUUUGACUGGGGCGGUCGCCUCCUAAAAGGUAACGGAGGCGCCCAAAGGUUCCCUCAGAAUGGUUGGAAAUCAUUCGCAGAGUGUAAAGGCACAAGGGAGCUUGACUGCGAGACCUACAAGUCGAGCAGGGACGAAAGUCGGGCUUAGUGAUCCGGUGGUUCCGCAUGGAAGGGCCAUCGCUCAACGGAUAAAAGCUACCCCGGGGAUAACAGGCUUAUCUCCCCCAAGAGUCCACAUCGACGGGGAGGUUUGGCACCUCGAUGUCGGCUCAUCGCAUCCUGGGGCUGUAGUCGGUCCCAAGGGUUGGGCUGUUCGCCCAUUAAAGCGGUACGCGAGCUGGGUUCAGAACGUCGUGAGACAGUUCGGUCCCUAUCCGUCGCGGGCGCAGGAAAUUUGAGAGGAGCUGUCCUUAGUACGAGAGGACCGGGAUGGACGCACCGCUGGUGUACCAGUUGUUCUGCCAAGGGCAUCGCUGGGUAGCUAUGUGCGGACGGGAUAAGUGCUGAAAGUAUCUAAGCAUGAAGCCCCCCUCAAGAUGAGAUUUCCCAUUCCGCAGGGAAGUAAGAUCCCUGAAAGAUGAUCAGGUUGAUAGGUCUGAGGUGGAAGUGUGGCGACACAUGGAGCUGACAGAUACUAAUCGAUCGAGGACUUAAUC